rnacentral:rRNA from 1 species
AGAACGAACGCUGGCGGCAGGCCUAACACAUGCAAGUCGAACGAGAAGCCACCUUCGGGUGGUGGACAGUGGCAGACGGGUGAGUAACGCGUGGGAACGUGCCUUUCGGUUCGGGAUAACCCAGGGAAACUUGGGCUAAUACCGGAUACGCCCUUCGGGGGAAAGAUUCAUUGCCGAAAGAUCGGCCCGCGUCGGAUUAGCUAGUUGGUGGGGUAAAAGCCUACCAAGGCGACGAUCCGUAGCUGGUCUGAGAGGAUGACCAGCCACACUGGGACUGAGACACGGCCCAGACUCCUACGGGAGGCAGCAGUGGGGAAUAUUGGACAAUGGCGCAAGCCUGAUCCAGCCAUGCCGCGUGGGUGAAGAAGGCCUUAGGGUUGUAAACCCCUUUCAGCGGGGAAGAUAAUGACGGUACCCGCAGAAGAAGCCCCGGCUAACUUCGUGCCAGCAGCCGC